rnacentral:lncRNA from 1 species
GGGAUCAGGUUGUCGAAUUGUUGGGGGUCCACCAUCACGGGUGGUUGCAUUGGCUCUGUAGGUCCAUGAGAGGCAAAUAGCUGGAUUGCUCUACUUUGGCUUUUUCGAGUAGACUGUCAGUGGGAAGUAGUGGAGUUCUUGCAGCGAGACAUUUUCUCUCUCAGAUUGGAUUGCUGGGUCCUUUCUCUAACGCCAAACUAUUACGUCAAGACUCCAGGGAGAGAUGAUAUGGCAAAGGAGGCGUGUCCGUCUGAUCACCAGAAUGUUGCAGGAGAUCUACAAGAGAAGUCCACUCACGUCGGAGAGGGUGCUUCGGUGGGAGACCCUUUGAGUCAGUCGAAACUCGAGCACAAUAGAAAGGAGAGAGAAUAUGGAA